AACUGGUUGAUCCUGCCAGACCCAACUGCUAUAUCCAGGGUAAGACUAAGCCAUGCAAGUCGAACGCCCAAGUCAUGUUCUUGGUGCGUGGCGAACUGCUCAGUAACACGUCGUUAAUCUACCCUAUGGUGGGGGACAAUCUCGGGAAACUGAGGCUAAUACCCCAUAGGCGAUUUGUUGUGGAAUUCAUAUUUCGCUCAAAAGGUGCUUGAGACUAUGCGAAAGCAUUCUGCCAUAGGAUGAGACGGCGGCGGAUUAUUUUGAUGGUGAGGUAACGGCUCACUAUGGUAAUGAUCCGUACGGGCUCUGAGAGGAGUAGCCCGGAGAUGGGAACUGA
rnacentral:rRNA from 1 species